AAAUGCUUUAAUACAGGUGAUAUAUUUGUUUUGAUUGUAAUGUAUGAGCGAUAUUCUUUAAACAGGUAAUUACAUGUUUGUAGUGUAAGCCGUGUUAACAUUUACAUGCCCGCUAAUGUUUAAUUUGUUACACGUACAUCUUUUAUAAGUUUUUAAUUUGCGGAUAAUUAAAUAAGCUUGGUAAUUUAACUUACCGUUUAUAACGACGUUUUAUUUGGUUAAAAAGAACAUUGCACUUGUUUUAAUUGUGUUUUUGUUACCAACUUCAGUUGUUUAAUGCAUUCAAAUGUAUUAAGUUUAUUUACGAC
rnacentral:lncRNA from 1 species